GGUCCCGCCUGCCCUGUGACUAUAUGUUUAACGGCCGCGGUAUUUUGACCGUGCGAAGGUAGCGCAAUCACUUGUCUUUUAAAUGGAGACCUGUAUGAAAGGCAUCACGAGGGCUUAGCUGUCUCCCCUUUAAAGUCAAUGAAAUUGAUCUCCCCGUGCAGAAGCGGGGAUAUGCUCGUAAGACGAGAAGACCCUAUGGAGCUUAAGAUAAAAGGCGAGUCAUGUCAAACACCCCUUCAAAGGAAGUUGAACGAAAUGAUACCCGCUGGAAUGUCUUCGGUUGGGGCGACCGCGGGGAAAGACAAAACCCCCACAUGGACCAGGGCCACUAUAGCCCUAAAACCUAGACCCACAGGUCAAGUCAACAGUAAAUCUGACUACCAAAGAGCCGGCAAUGCCGAUCAACGGACCGAGUUACCCUAGGGAUAACAGCGCAAUCCCCUCCCAGAGCCCUUAUCGACGAGGGGGUUUACGACCUCGAUGUUGGAUCAGGACAUCCUAAUGGUGCAGCCGCUAUUAAGGGUUCGUUUGUUCAACGAUUAAA
rnacentral:rRNA from 1 species